rnacentral:misc_RNA from 1 species
GAAAUGCGAUAAGUAAUGUGAAUUGCAGAAUUCAGUGAAUCAUCGAAUCUUUGAACGCACCUUGCGCUCCUUGGUAUUCCUUGGAGCAUGCCUGUUUGAGUAUCAUGAAAUCUUCAAAGUAAAUCUUUUGUUAACUCAAUUGGUUUCUACUUUGGUAUUGGAGGUCUUUGCAGCUUCACACCUGCUCCUCUUUGUUCAUUAGCUGGAUCUCAGUGUUAUGCUUGGUUCCACUCGGCGUGAUAAGUUAUCUAUCGCUGAGGACACUGUAAAAGGUGGCCAAGGUAAAUGCAGAUGAACCGCUUCUAAUAGUCCAUUGACUUGGACAAUACUUUUAUGAUCUGAUCUCAAAUUACGUAGGAUUACCCUCUGAACUUAAGC